CCCAUUCUUUCCCACUUCUCCUGCUGUCUGCCAUGUGGUUCUUCGCCGUCCCCCUGAGGUCACCUUGGGUCUCCUGUCAUCCCCACAGGCUUCCUCCCCGGUCACUGCCAAAGAAUUGGGGGAUGAGGUCCAGACCAGUGUCUCGUGAUCCUGCCAUCUGGCUAAGUGGCUACCCUUCCACCCUUGCUGGUCUCCAAAGCAAGUUGCCAUUUUAUUUACCACCUAUGUGAACACAGGGAUGGUUAUAAGCCCCACGUGCAGAAACACCACCUGGGUUUCAAAUCAGGAGUCAGCGAUGCAAGGAGAGAUGAAGAGGAAGAGUCUUUCGUGGCCGGUGGCCGAGGAUGAGCGCAUCAUUCGUGGCUGAGUGGGAGCAGUGGUGGACACUGUCCAGGGCUGGUUGUGUCGUCAGCGUGAGAUGCAAGGUCAGGGCGAGAAUGGAAGAUGAGGCCGCUUGCUGUUUCGACAUUGUCAGGCGUGUCUCAAAUGCCCUCGUGUUCUCACGUUACCCCCGCAAGGUCUCCGAGCAACCAAAAGAAAUGGCUCCUGUUUCUCUCCUCUGCUUUUGUCUUCCCAGGGCAGUGAAAAGACCAACAUGUCCUUGGAACAUUUCACGUCACCUGAAAAACAGCCUUUUUUUUUCCUCCCUAAAAAUAUAUUGACUAAAAUAAAUUAAGUACAAAAAAAAAAAAAAUGAACACACUUUCUUGGUACACAUUGCCCCCCAAGAUUAUACUUUAGAUAGAGUCAAAACCCACAUCUCAGGCCUUUAUCUAUACUAUUUUUCCCCCUUAAAAUUCUUUUUUUUCUUUUUAAUUUUUUAAUGAAAGUUAAUUAUGGACAACAUUUGGAGAAUUAGCUUUAUAAAGUCAGUUAUACCAAACUGAAGCACU